GCAGCCCUACAGUGUUCGUGGUGAAGCUGAUAUGUGUUGUGAACCAACACUCAACGCUAGGGAGCCUGGACUCCGGUUGUGGAAGAAAAGCCGCCCCGGGAGCGGACUUCGGAAGCAGUCGGGAGGGCACCCACCUGGAUACCAGGUUCAGCAACGACUCAGCUGUUAACGGCAUUUGUGGGGCUCAC
rnacentral:other from 1 species